AUACGUAGGUGGCAAGCGUUGUCCGGAAUUAUUGGGCGUAAAGCGCAUGUAGGCGGUUUGGUAAGUCGGUCGUGAAAAUGCGGUGCUUAACGCCGUAUGGCGAUUGAAACUGCUGAACUUGAGUGCAGGAGAGGAAAGGGGAACUCCCAGUGUAGCGGUGAAAUGCGUAGAUAUUGGGAAGAACACCGGUGGCGAAGGCGCCUUUCUGGACUGUGUCUGACGCUCAGAUGCGAAAGCCAGGGUAGCGAACGGGAUUAGAUACCCCGGUAGUCCUGGCCGUAAACGAUGGGUACUAGGUGUGGGAGGUAUCGACUCCUUCCGUGCCGGAGUUAACGCAAUAAGUACCCCGCCUGGGGAGUACAGCCGCAAGGCUUAAACUCAAAUGAAUUGACGGGG
rnacentral:rRNA from 1 species